GUCUAUCUGCAGUCGAGCGAACUGAUUAGAAGCUUGCUUCUAUGACGUUAGCGGCGGACGGGUGAGUAACACGUGGGCAACCUGCCUGUAAGACUGGGAUAACUUCGGGAAACCGAAGCUAAUACCGGAUAGGAUCUUCUCCUUCAUGGGAGAUGAUUGAAAGAUGGUUUCGGCUAUCACUUACAGAUGGGCCCGCGGUGCAUUAGCUAGUUGGUGAGGUAACGGCUCACCAAGGCAACGAUGCAUAGCCGACCUGAGAGGGUGAUCGGCCACACUGGGACUGAGACACGGCCCAGACUCCUACGGGAGGCAGCAGUAGGGAAUCUUCCGCAAUGGACGAAAGUCUGACGGAGCAACGCCGCGUGAGUGAUGAAGGCUUUCGGGUCGUAAAACUCUGUUGUUAGGGAAGAACAAGUACAAGAGUAACUGCUUGUACCUUGACGGUACCUAACCAGAAAGCCACGGCUAACUACGUGCCAGCAGCCGCGGUAAUACGUAGGUGGCAAGCGUUAUCCGGAAUUAUUGGGCGUAAAGCGCGCGCAGGCGGUUUCUUAAGUCUGAUGUGAAAGCCCACGGCUCAACCGUGGAGGGUCAUUGGAAACUGGGGAACUUGAGUGCAGAAGAGAAAAGCGGAAUUCCACGUGUAGCGGUGAAAUGCGUAGAGAUGUGGAGGAACACCAGUGGCGAAGGCUGCUUUUUGGUCUGUAACUGACGCUGAGGCGCGAAAGCGUGGGGAAGCAAACAGGAUUAGAUACCCUGGUAGUCCACGCCGUAAACGAUGAGUGCUAAGUGUUAGAGGGUUUCCGCCCUUUUAGUGCUGCAGCUAACGCAUUAAGCACUCCCCCCUGGG
rnacentral:rRNA from 1 species